rnacentral:rRNA from 1 species
UAGGGAAUCUUCGGCAAUGGGGGCAGCCCUGACCGAGCAACGCCGCGUGAGUGAAGAAGGUUUUCGGAUCGUAAAGCUCUGUUGUAAGAGAAGAACGUGUGUGAGAGUGGAAAGUUCACACAGUGACGGUAACUUACCAGAAAGGGACGGCUAACUACGCGCCAG